GUAGACGAUAAAAAAGAAAAUUGUACUUAAGAAAAGUUAAUGGAAACGAGAGAGGACAGAGAGAAAGAGAGAGAAAGAGAGAAAGAGAAAGUAGAAAAUGAAAGGGAUAUUCGUUUUAAAUACGAUAGCGAUAUAUGUAUUUCUAGCUACAGGCGCUUUUUUUGAUCAGAAUUAUGAAGAAUAUUCGAUCUAUUUUGGUACUUCCUUUCCUUUCCUACAUCUCGACUCCUCGGACAGUCAAAAACGUACAUACGUAAUCUUGGAGUUUUCUAUAUAUCGAAUUAAGAGUCACGUAGAACGAAAGGUCGGCACGAGAUGCAGGAAGGAGAUGGGAGAUAUAACGUCGAGAGAGAAAGAAAGAGGGAGAAAUAAAGUCUCUACAGCGAAGAUCGCGUAGCGAGGACAAACUGGCAUACCAAAGACAGACCAAGUCCAGAUGCUGUCUGUCUUACUAAAUGCGGCUGCAUGGAGAUCAUAGAGUACUUUGGGAUAUCCUGUCUCGGGGAAAUCGUUCGACAUGAAACAGGAAGUGGGGACAGAUCCUGUGCGAAGUCAUACUUUGAAAUCCCAGGGGUUAAAACGCUCCACAUCGUAUGCCUGUGUAUCGUCACUGUUAACUUCUUACAUUCCUACUCUUCCGUCCUUAAAUUUUUUCAUUUGUUUGAACAAAAAAGGCACUUUAUACCACACAUGAAUUUUGAAUGUGUGAAUUCAUUCAUAAUUAUUUAUUUUAAUCAAUUUAUAUCAUUUGCUAGAAACCAUAUUAAUAUAAGGAAAUUAAUGUCCCUUUUUCAGGCUAUUUUUCAAAUAUCCUAUUUGUAUAGAAUUUAAUUAAAAUUGGUUUUUAAUUAUGAGAUUAAAAUUUUUUUUAAAUGCAGAUACAAUAAGGUA